CAGCCGCCGCGGGAAUACGUAGGGUGCAAGCGUUAAUCGGAAUUACUGGGCGUAAAGCGUGCGCAGGCGGUUAUAUAAGACAGAUGUGAAAUCCCCGGGCUCAACCUGGGAACUGCAUUUGUGACUGUAUAGCUAGAGUACGGCAGAGGGGGAUGGAAUUCCGCGUGUAGCAGUGAAAUGCGUAGAUAUGCGGAGGAACACCGAUGGCGAAGGCAAUCCCCUGGGCCUGUACUGACGCUCAUGCACGAAAGCGUGGGGAGCAAACAGGAUUAGAUACCCCUGUAGUCUCUGUCUCUUAUAC
rnacentral:rRNA from 1 species